AGUGAACGCUGGCGGUAGGCCUAACACAUGCAAGUCGAACGGCAGCACAGUAAGAGCUUGCUCUUACGGGUGGCGAGUGGCGGACGGGUGAGGAAUACAUCGGAAUCUACUUUUUCGUGGGGGAUAACGUAGGGAAACUUACGCUAAUACCGCAUACGACCUACGGGUGAAAGCAGGGGAUCUUCAGACCUUGCGCGAUUGAAUGAGCCGAUGUCGGAUUAGCUAGUUGGCGGGGUAAAGGCCCACCAAGGCGACGAUCCGCAGCUGGUCUGAGAGGAUGAUCAGCCACACUGGAACUGAGACACGGUCCAGACUCCUACGGGAGGCAGCAGUGGGGAAUAUUGGACAAUGGGCGCAAGCCUGAUCCAGCCAUACCGCGUGGGUGAAGAAGGCCUUCGGGUUGUAAAGCCCUUUUGUUGGGAAAGAAAAGCAGCAGGUUAAUACCCCGCUGUUCUGACGGUACCCAAAGAAUAAGCACCGGCUAACUUCGUG
rnacentral:rRNA from 1 species